rnacentral:lncRNA from 9 species
AUGGAAGGGCUCCAGAGAUCUGUUGGGAGAGACCUUAAGAUAUGUGACCAGAGGACAGUUUCGCCCCAGGUUUACUGUAGGGAUUCGCAUGGAUUCACCAGGACAUGGUGUGUACAUGUUCCAGAAACACAGCAAAACAGCAGACAUUCAGGUGGAGGAGCUAGCGCAUGGACACCUGGACCACAGUGCACUGAAGUGGGAAGUCUUCCCUCUGAUGACUCUGGGUUUGAAGACAACCCGCUCUCUGGUCCUGGCAUCCUUGAUACCCAGUUACAGGACAAACUUCUUCUCAGAAAUGUGUGAGUAGUAAAAUUUUCUUACAAUUUCUGGUGAUUCUUUCAAACAAAGAAGGGUGAUGGAAAAAAAUGUAGAGAAUUUCUGGUGAAGCAUACAUUUUUUGGUCUAAGACAAAAAUAUCCUGCUUUUUAUGUAUCUUGCUAGUUGUGUAUUUAAGAAUAGUGGCCCACAAGUGAGAGAAGUAAAAUGAAAGCCAGGAAAAUGGGAAAAGUGGAUGCUUCACAUCAACUAUUAACUACUUAAGUUUGAUUUAUUUACUUAGAUAAGUAGCUGAAGAGCUGAGGUGACCCUGAAGUAACAACGCUUUAAAGAUGAUGGAAAUAAUGCUGUAAUAACUUUCGAAUGAUAUUGAAAUAAUAACACUCUAAUGAUGCUGAUUAAGACUGUAGGUGAGAUGCUGAAAAUUCUGCAUCAUUAUAACAAGGAGAAUUUCAUUAUUGUAUUGCUACAAAACAGGCACUCACAUUAUUUCUAAUCCAGUUAAAAAUUUUCUAUACAGGGAAAUUCACCCUUUUGAUACACAAUUUUUACACACACACAGAUGCUUGUAACCACCACCACAGAGGAGAUACAGAAUAAUUUUAAUAUCCCCAAAUACCUUCCAGCUUCCCCCUUCUGUUCAGAUCUUCCCUCUACUCCAAACCCCUGGCAAUCACUUAUCUGUUCUCUGUUCCUGUAUUUUUGCCUUUUCAUAAUAUCACAGAAAUGGAAUCAUAGUGCAGUAUGAAUUCGAGAACCACAUCCAUUCGAGGCUGAGUUCUCUCAAUAUACUACAGAACAAAUUUUUUAUUAAAAAUGUUUAUCUUUGGAGUUCCUGUCGUGGUGCAGCGGAAACGAAUCCGACUGAGAACUGUGAGGUGGCGGGUUCAAUCCCUGGCCUCGCUCAGUGGGUUAAGGAUCUGGCAUUGCCAUGGGUUUUGUUGUAGGUUGCAGACGUGGCUCGGAUCUGGCGUUGCUGUGGCUCUGGCUGUGGCCGGCAGCUCUGGCUCCGAUUAGACCCCUAGCCUGGGAACCUCCACAUGCCAUAGCCACAGGUGCAGCCCUGAAAAGACAAAAGACAAAAGACAAAAAAAAAAAAAAAAGUUUAUCUUUGCUGAAUACAAGAUAAAGGAAGAAGACAAAAAAGACUCAGUUACUGCAAAACUUGCAUGGACAGCAUUUUGACAUUUUGAAAGAAAUGGAAACAUAAUUAAAACACUGCUGAAACACUGUUUUCCUUCCUAUAUACCAAGAGGUUGGUCUAUUUAAAGCAUAUGGAUUUGGAUUUGCCUUUUCUAUUUUGAGCAUGUUCAAAUAUAUGUCCUCCAGAGGCUCAGUGGAAGAAAAUUCACCUUCCUACAGCCUGCCCUUGGUCUCUGCAUAUGAAAACAUAAUUAUUCAGUUCUUAAUUAAAUUUUUUAGUUAGUUGGGCACUUAAGCUUAUUCUAUCUUCAGUGAGAUGAUGCUUAGCAGCAUAUUUCCUUGUUUCCUGGAAAACCGCUGACCUUCUUGGCUUUCAUAGGUUUAUUCUGCACUGGCUGCUUAGUUCUGUGCAAUUAUGCACAACACAAAAUCAAGCUGGAUCUCUAAGAGGUGAGAAGAGCUAUGGCUUGCAUUGUACUGCCUGGGGGGCAUUGCCAUUUUCCAUCGUUGUGCUCGCACUUCCCUUAUAAGCAACAUAUCCUCCUGUGCUGAGCUCUGCUCUUUCUUAUGAGGGAAACCAUUAUUUAGGGAGGAAAGUAAUAUCGUGCUUUGGAAUUCCCGUGGAGAUGAAUAUAUUUAGCAGCUAGAAGAUUCAGACAUGCUGAGUAAAUAAAAGCAGCAACCUCCGUUUCUGGCUACACACAGACAUACUCAGACACACACACACAGACACACAGACACAAACACACACUCAUAUGUGGUGUAGGGGUUGCAGAUAGGUGACUUUCAGGGAACAGUCUACACUGCGAACAAGUUCGCUGUAGUGUUUUGAAAGGUAGGUUCCCAUCAAAAAGCAGCCAUGCUGUGAGAUGUAUAAGAUGGACUAGUGCCUAGAGAAUAGUUCUAUGAAAACUUGUUUGCUUCCUUCAAAUGGUUACCAGCAAGCCGUUGGAAUUGAUCAAGUUUUCCAAUGGGCUCAAUUCUGUACUUCCUAGGGUUUUCUUUAAAAUGUGCUAUAAUUACAAAUAGAUUUGUUUGCAGCUUUAAUUUCGAUUGCAUUUACUUUGAGGUUGAUUGUAUUCUCUCUUUGCUUAUUAAAAACUUCACAUUGGAAAUUAUGAAAAGUUUGUCAUCCAGAAGCAAAGGAGUUCAAUAACCAAGCAGAGCUUGAAAUAUGGUUUCUAUUUAUAUCACUAUUGUGCUGAGCAAACCUCAAAACCCUUUCCUGGUUUGUCUUUCACACAAGAGAAAAAUAAUGUUCUGCCACAAAGACUAAAACGUGAGUAGGCCAUUGUGGGCGAGUCAAAUUGAUUCUAUUUCUUCUGGCCGGGCUACCUUGUGUUGAAUUCAGGAAUGUUGUAAUGAAAGAUCUGAACUGCAUAAACCUAAUAUUAUCCAAAAGCAUAUUUCAUCUUUAUGCUCUCAUUACACAUUGGACAUAGUCUUUUUUGUGUGUGUGUUUUUGGCAUUUCUUGGGCCACUUCUGCGGCAUAUGGAGGUUCGCAGGCUAGGGGUCCAAUUGGAGCUGUAGCCACCGGCCUACACCGGAGCCACAGCAAUGUAGGAUCCGAGCUGCGUCUGCAACCUACACC